rnacentral:rRNA from 1 species
ACUCCUACGGGAGGCAGCAGUGGGGAAUAUUGCACAAUGGGCGCAAGCCUGAUGCAGCCAUGCCGCGUGUAUGAAGAAGGCCUUCGGGUUGUAAAGUACUUUCAGCAGUGAGGAAGGUGGGUAUGUUAAUAGCAUAUUCAUUUGACGUUAGCUGCAGAAGAAGCACCGGCUAACUCCGUGCCAGCAGCCGCGGUAAUACGGAGGGUGCGAGCGUUAAUCGGAAUUACUGGGCGUAAAGCGCAUGCAGGUGGUUUGUUAAGUCAGAUGUGAAAGCCCGGGGCUCAACCUCGGAAUUGCAUUUGAAACUGGCAAACUAGAGUACUGUAGAGGGGGGUAGAAUUUCAGGUGUAGCGGUGAAAUGCGUAGAGAUCUGAAGGAAUACCGGUGGCGAAGGCGGCCCCCUGGACAGAUACUGACACUCAGAUGCGAAAGCGUGGGGAGCAAACAGGAUUAGAUACCCUGGUAGCCGC